rnacentral:rRNA from 1 species
AUUGAACGCUGGCGGAAUGCUUUACACAUGCAAGUCGAACGGCAGCACGGGGGCAGCCCUGGUGGCGAGUGGCGAACGGGUGAGUAAUACAUCGGAACGUGCCCGGUCGUGGGGGAUAACGUAGCGAAAGUUACGCUAAUACCGCAUACGAUCUGAGGAUGAACGCGGGUGACCUUCGGGCCUCGCGCGAUCGGAGCGGCCGAUGUCAGAUUAGGUAGUUGGUGGGGUAAAGGCCUACCAAGCCGACGAUCUGUAGCUGGUCUGAGAGGACGACCAGACACACUGGGACUGAGACACGGCCCAGACUCCUACGGGAGGCAGCAGUGGGGAAUUUUGGACAAUGGGCGCAAGCCUGAUCCAGCCAUUCCGCGUGCAGGACGAAGGCCUUCGGGUUGCAAAAUGCUUUUGUACGGAACGAAAAGGCUCUGGCUAAUACCUGGGGCUCAUGACGGUACCGGAAGAAUAAGCACCGGCUAACUACGUG